UGCAAACUGUACAACGUACCCUAGAUGGA
rnacentral:sRNA from 1 species